rnacentral:rRNA from 1 species
CCUACGGGAGGCAGCAGUGAGGAAUAUUGGUCAAUGGACGAGAGUCUGAACCAGCCAAGUAGCGUGAAGGAUGACUGCCCUAUGGGUUGUAAACUUCUUUUAUAUGGGAAUAAAAUGUUCCACGUGUGGGAUUUUGUAUGUACCAUAUGAAUAAGGAUCGGCUAACUCCGUGCCAGCAGCCGCGGUAAUACGGAGGAUCCGAGCGUUAUCCGGAUUUAUUGGGUUUAAAGGGAGCGUAGGUGGAUUGUUAAGUCAGUUGUGAAAGUUUGCGGCUCAACCGUAAAAUUGCAGUUGAAACUGGCAGUCUUGAGGACAGUAGAGGUGGGCGGAAUUCGUGGUGUAGCGGUGAAAUGCUUAGAUAUCACGAAGAACUCCGAUUGCGAAGGCAGUUCACUGGACUGCAACCGACACUGAGGCUCGAAAGUGUGGGUAUCAAACAGGAUUAGAUACCCUUGUAGUC